CCUACGGGCGGCAGCAGUGAGGAAUAUUGGUCAAUGGGUGGAAGCCUGAACCAGCCAAGUAGCGUGCGGGAUGAAGGCCCUACGGGUCGUAAACCGCUUUUGCACGGGGAUAACACCCUCCACUUGUGGAGGUCUGCAGGUACCGUGCGAAUAAGGGCCGGCUAAUUCCGUGCCAGCAGCCGCGGUAAUACGGAAGGCCCGAGCGUUAUCCGGAUUCAUUGGGCUUAAAGGGAGCGUAGGCGGGCGUUCAAGUCAGCUGUAAAAUCGCGCGGCUCAACCGCGCCCCGCAGUUGAAACUGGACGCCUUGAGUUCACAACAGGCAGGCGGAAUUCGUGGUGUAGCGGUGAAAUGCAUAGAUAUCGAGAGGAACACUCGUGGCGAAGGCGGGUUCCUGGACAUUAACUGACGCUGAGGCACGAAGGCCAGGGGAGCGAAAGGGAUUAGAUACCCUGGUAGUC
rnacentral:rRNA from 1 species